rnacentral:lncRNA from 1 species
UCCCGGCCGUCGACAGGCCAGAUCCGAGAGCCGCGAACGCCGCUCCUUCUCCGGUUCGCACGAGUCCAGUCGCCGCCAUCCUCUGGCUUUCUUCUUGAACCGCCAACUGGUAGAUCCGCCGGAGCGAUGGUGGCGGCUCCAUUGCGAGCACUUGGGACCUGAAAUGUGAGUAACUUUCAUUUAAAAUCAGUAAAAAUCGAGUCGAUUUUUCUCUGUCUCGAAUAGCCCUAUAUUGAUUUAGGGUUUCGUCCGGUCCCUCGAGUCUCUCCUCGGCAGCCUCGAGUUCGUUCCAGAGGGCAGAGAGCCGAUUGAAACAUGUUGUGAUGGUCUGAUUUCCUUGUUUCAGGUCGGAUAUGGCUUGGGUGAGCGAGAAAAGCUUGGCUCGAUCAAGCUUGCCGUACAUCUCUCGGAUCGCCUCCCAAAUCGCCUUCGAGUCUUCAGUUGGUGGAAGCCCGGCGGCCACCUCAGGAGCCAAACAGUUGCCGAUCCACGUCCGCACGAGUUGAUUGCACCUGCGCCAAUGCCGCUGUGAGCGUUCGUCGGUCGGGAAGAGUACGCUGCCGUC